CUCAAAGCUCAGUCAAACUCCCACCGCCCCCUCAUUUCUCCUUUCCUCCCCAUUCUUCCCUCAUUCGUGGCCACAACAUCCCCAUCCACAGGCGGCGGCCCGGCGAUCUGCUCUGCGCCGCCCCUCACUCCUCCCGGCGACGCCGGGGCGUGCGCUCUCCUCUUCCUCCCCAUGGCCGCCUUGGUCCCCAUCACCUACGCCCGCUCUGGCAGCCCCCAACCCUAGUUCUCUGACACCCCGUAGGGAGAGGAGGAGUGAGGCUUCUGGGCAAGGAGGUGCUGCUGGUGGUGCUGUUGGGCGAGGAGGCACUUGAUGUGCGUUCGCCGGCGCUGGAUCCGUGUGCGCCGGCGCUUGAUCUGCUCCGUCGUGGCUCCGGCGACCUUACCCUGUGGCUCCGGGACAGGAAGGCUAUCCCGACGACAUACAGGAGACCUCAACACGCCAAUGGAUGCAGCCAGCCUCCAACUCACCAGGCACCUGCACCAACUUGAUGUAGGGAGAGGAGGAGUGAGGCUUCUCUCACGGGAUGACGCCCAGCCAUGGGGCAGCAGCAACCCAAGCUUGAUGAGGCAUUUAGGUGAGGUCAGUACAAUGCUCAUUUGACAAGGAUUCAUGAAACGACGUCAGGUUUAGGUCAGGUUGAGAAAGGAGCAGGGUGGAGGCGUCUUCUAGCCUAACGAAGCCUUGGCGGCAGCGGCAUGUAAAAGCCUUUCGAACUUCAGAUCAGAGAAGAGCAUGCACCUAUGUCGGCGAGGAGCUCCUCGUCGCGGCCGUGGCAGGGCGUCUAUGCGGCUGCACCUGUGUUGGGGAACAACACGUCGUCGUGGCCGUCAUCGAGUGACUCGGUGACCUCGUCGCCACGGCCGUCGUCGGGUGCCUCGGCGGCUACGCAGGGCAGCGACGUCGCGGCCGUCGUCGGGUGCCUUAGCGGCUGCGCAGGGCAGCGACGGGGCAUGUAAUCUGGACGUCGAGCCUGGAUUGAUUCCCGCUAAUUUAGCUCAGUUGUUUCCGUGUAUGACUCAUUUGUUUUCCGUGUAUGACUCUCCGUGUAAUUUGGGCGUGGGUUCUUACCCUUUUUUUUUUGAGAAAAGGACGUGGAUUUACCUGUAGACUCGUGCGGGCGUGGGUUGUUUUACGGGCAGAGUUUUCGUCCUCUGUCGUCAAGUUCUCUCGUUUAAUAGUAGUGUAGACUAAUAGAAACAUUACGCAAUGAUACAAACAGGGUGAGGCCCUCACAUAUCGAAAUCAAGUUGAA